rnacentral:rRNA from 1 species
AGGAAUAUUGGUCAAUGGGCGAGAGCCUGAACCAGCCAAGUAGCGUGAAGGAUGACUGCCCUAUGGGUUGUAAACUUCUUUUAUAAAGGAAUAAAGUCGGGUAUGCAUACCCGUUUGCAUGUACUUUAUGAAUAAGGAUCGGCUAACUCCGUGCCAGCAGCCGCGGUAAUACGGAGGAUCCGAGCGUUAUCCGGAUUUAUUGGGUUUAAAGGGAGCGUAGAUGGAUGUUUAAGUCAGUUGUGAAAGUUUGCGGCUCAACCGUAAAAUUGCAGUUGAUACUGGAUAUCUUGAGUGCAGUUGAGGCAGGCGGAAUUCGUGGUGUAGCGGUGAAAUGCUUAGAUAUCACGAAGAACUCCGAUUGCGAAGGCAGCCUGCUAAGCUGCAACUGACAUUGAGGCUCGAAAGUGUGGGUAUCAAACAGGAUUAGAUACCCUGGUAGUCCACACGGUAAACGAUGAAUACUCGCUGUUUGCGAUAUACAGCAAGCGGCCAAGCGAAAGCGUUAAGUAUUCCACCUGGGGAGUACGCCGGCAACGGUGAAACUCAAAGGAAUUGACGGGGGCCCGCACAAGCGGAGGAACAUGUGGUUUAAUUCGAUGAUACGCGAGGAACCUUACCCGGGCUUAAAUUGCAGAUGAAUUACGGUGAAAGCCGUAAGCCGCAAGGCAUCUGUGAAGGUGCUGCAUGGUUGUCGUCAGCUCGUGCCGUGAGGUGUCGGCUUAAGUGCCAUAACGAGCGCAACCCUUGUUGUCAGUUACUAACAGGUUCCGCUGAGGACUCUGACAAGACUGCCAUCGUAAGAUGUGAGGAAGGUGGGGAUGACGUCAAAUCAGCACGGCCCUUACGUCCGGGGCUACACACGUGUUACAAUGGGGGGUACAGAGGGCCGCUACCACGCGAGUGGAUGCCAAUCCCCAAAACCUCUCUCAGUUCGGACUGGAGUCUGCAACCCGACUCCACGAAGCUGGAUUCGCUAGUAAUCGCGCAUCAGCCACGGCGCGGUGAAUACGUUCCCG